rnacentral:lncRNA from 1 species
UGUUGAGUCCUAAUUUCACACAGGACAAGAGCAGGAAGAAGGCAGCCCAAGGAUAACAAAAUGUCAGAGCUGACAGACCAGAGAUACCUGUCACACUUCUUGGAUUAACGUUUCCAGCUCAGCGGAUGGUACCACAGCUUUCCAGAACAAGGCAAAAAGUGAGGAGACCUCCCUUCCUGUAUGAGCUCCCACUUCCCAACAACCUGACAGUCCUUACAGGACCUUCUAGGACCAGAUCCUUCUCACCAAGGCUCACACCUUGGUCUCCACUACAUCUGAAGAGGUUACAAGGAAUUCUGGGUAAGUGCCAUCACCCUGCAGCUUUGUAGACUGUCCUCUACCUCAUUCCCCAACAACCAUGGCGAUGUACAAAGACAUUAAUUACAUACCAAAGAGAGGAGGAUGGGCACUUCUCUUCAGUUAGAAUGUUCUGUACACAACCCAGAGCUACUACAGGGCAGAGAGAGCAAUGGGUAGAAGUCAGUCCUUCAAGAGCCAAGCAAUGUGGUCCCAGCUGGACCCCUGGAGAAGGAAGGAUAUCAGUGCUACAGAGACAGUGUCCAGUAGAGAAUCCGGGAAGAGACUUGCAUGGGGCCCUCUACACUGCAGUCCAAGUGCAUAUUACCAUCCUUGGCCUAGGAGCCCACCAAAGGACAUAUGUGGACCAGCAUUUGCUUUCAGACUUGCUCCUGCUGGCCUCCUGCCACUGCCUGAUGUCAGCGCUGCAAUGCUCUGUCAAUAGGGCAAGCCAUGGCAGGGCAAGUCCCCUUCAGAAGGAGGCUAGAGAAGCAGAGUGGUCAGACGUCUGAGAAGAGCCGGUGUCGUGAACCUUUUCUGCCCUGCCUUCUAGGAAUCCUAGCCACCUUCUGGUGCAGCUUGCCCCAGACAUCCAGACAUGGAGAGCCUUUGGUCUGAACCGCUCUCCACCUCAGACAACAGGCCUUCUGGGCAACACAAGGCGCUCUGUAUAGCCCCAUUGGGAAGUCAGUGGCUUUUGCACCUUUGUGAGUUGAAUCCUGCCUGGGAAGACAAGAACACAGACUGAGCAACCCCAACCUGGAUAUCUGACAUUGGAUUGGUUACAGCUAGAAGGUGAUAUCUCAGCAAAGACCUAAAGAAGCUGGGAGCAAGCCAUGCGAGCCUCUGACAGGAGAGAAAGGAGGCUGAGAACCAGCGAGGGCCAACCGCAUGAGGCUGGAAGAGGAGCAUCACGUUGGAAGUGGAACAGAGACUGUUCUGUGGGGAUAGAGGACAGGUCAGAAAUGUCAGGAGGUUGAGAAGAAAGAAGGAAAUCAGGGUUUAGGACCAUCAAGAUGGCACAGUGGGUAAAGGUGCUUGCCACCAAGCCUGGACCCCACAUGCUAGAAGAGAUCUGAUCCCCACAAGUCAUCAUCUGACCUCUACUUGUAUGCUAUGGCAGGAGCACACACGCACACACACACACGCACACGCACGCACGUACGCGCGCGCACACACACACGUACGCACACACACACACACACACACACACACACGCACGCACGAUACAGAUUCACCUUCAACUUUGUACAGCCCUGGAUGCCUUGUAGUGUGCUUCAGCUGCCACACUGCAUCACGAGACACAGCCACUCAGGACCAGUGUGCCUUCAGUUUCAGAGGUAACCCUGGGAGGGACAAAGAACCCAAUCUUGGGAGAGCACAGAUACAAUUUGAGCAAGGAUCUCCUCAAACCACAAGAAUGAAUAUGAAAUAGUUUGCUUUCUUUCUUUUGACAGUA